rnacentral:rRNA from 1 species
GAGGAAGGACAUCACUCACAGAAGAAGCACCGGCUAACUCCGUGCCAGCAGCCGCGGUAAUACGGAGGGUGCGAGCGUUAAUCGGAAUUACUGGGCGUAAAGCGCGCGUAGGCGGCGUGAUAAGCCGGUUGUGAAAGCCCCGGGCUCAACCUGGGAACGGCAUCCGGAACUGUCAGGCUAGAGUGCAGGAGAGGAAGGUAGAAUUCCCGGUGUAGCGGUGAAAUGCGUAGAGAUCGGGAGGAAUACCAGUGGCGAAGGCGGCCUUCUGGACUGACACUGACGCUGAGGUGCGAAAGCGUGGGUAGCAAACAGGAUUAGAUACCCUGGUAGUCCACGCCGUAAACGAUGUCGACUAGCCGUUGGGGUCCUUGAGACCUUUGUGGCGCAGUUAACGCGAUAAGUCGACCGCCUGGGGAGUACGGCCGCAAGGUUAAAACUCAAAUGAAUUGACGGGGGCCCGCACAAGCGGUGGAGCAUGUGGUUUAAUUCGAUGCAACGCGAAGAACCUUACCUACCCUUGACAUCGUGCGAACUUGGUAGAGAUACCUUGGUGCCUUCGGGAACGCACAGACAGGUGCUGCAUGGCUGUCGUCAGCUCGUGUUGUGAAAUGUUGGGUUAAGUCCCGUAACGAGCGCAACCCUUGUCCCUAUUUGCCAGCGAUUCGGUCGGGAACUCUAGGGAGACUGCCGGUGACAAACCGGAGGAAGGUGGGGACGACGUCAAGUCAUCAUGGCCCUUACGGGUAGGGCUACACACGUGCUACAAUGGCCGGUACAAAGGGUUGCGAAGCCGCGAGGUGGAGCUAAUCCCGAAAAGCCGGUCUCAGUCCGGAUCGGAGUCUGCAACUCGACUCCGUGAAGUCGGAAUCGCUAGUAAUCGUGAAUCAGAAUGUCACGGUGAAUACGUUCCCGGGCCUUGUACACACCGCCCGUCACACCAUGGGAGUGGACUGCACCAGAAGUGGUUAGCCUAACUUCGGAGGGCGAUCACCACGGUGUGGUUCAUGACUGGGGUGAAGUCGUAACAAGGUAGCCGUAGGGGAACCUGCGGCUGGAUCACCUCCUUA